UGUAUUUUGUUUAAAGCACUAUAUAAAUAAGUGAUUGAUUGAUUGAUUGAUUCUGCAAGUUUGAGGAAAUAGAGAGUAAAAUUUUUCUUGUCCCCUAUCACAAUCAAUUCGUUUCAAUUCCUCUUCUACAUACGGAGUAAUUCUUUAUCAGCACUUUUUGUUUCAUAGUUCAUGCAUUUGAAAUAAAAUGUUCAAAAUUAAGUUUCAUUUAAGAGUUAAUAAAAAAUACGAGUUUCAGGCUUGCAAAAAAAAAAAAAAAUGUACCUAAUCGUGGAGUUUGAGGGAGAAGGGACGACUGGACCAGCUGCCAAGUCCUGGUGGCCACCAUAUAAAGAUCUUGACAGGUUGCUGAAGAGUGUUAGGACAAUGGAGGCACCACAGCCAGAAAAAGGGUGGACCAGACAUAGAGCAAGAAUCCUGCAUGAGUCUGCAUCAUUUCAGAAUGUAGCCAACAAUUGGAAGAAGGCCAGCUAUACUUCUGACAUAAACUCAGAACCUGAAAUUGCUGGAAAAAGGAUUCCCA